rnacentral:lncRNA from 1 species
AUAAUAAAGUUAAUUAAAUCGAAUCACGUUUAUGGAAAUAGGUUCUAUAAGGUUGCAGGAACACAAAAACUCCAAAUAAAAAUCAAACUACUAAUGACAAACCUUGCAUUAAUAAACACGAUAGAAGGUACUAGUUUGUUACGAACAUAGAAGUAAAAUAAGAUAGUUCAUCUAUGAAGAACAUAAUAAUAAAAAGCACAAAAUAGACAAUCUUUAGAGUGGAAUUUGAAAACAUUGACAAUAACGGUUUUAAUAUUGUGUUUUCCCCUUAAAUACAAUUUCGAGCACGUUUAAAUCAAUGCAUCCUCAUAUGGAAGAUUAAAACUCGAAACUGCAGCCUGAGUUAGUUUAUCACAUAUUUGGUAGGUGGAGUGGGAGUAUAAAGAAACAAACAAAGGAUGGAAACUGAAAUUUACAUUCCUCCAGUCGUAGAUGACCUGGUUCCAUUACUCGAUCUUCGAUCUGAUGCUUGUUGCCUAGCAAGUUGUUCUAACCUUGAAUGUUGUGCAAAGCAUCCUCAGAGUUGUCUUGGAGCCUGUUUGCUAGGGUUUUUAAAAAGUCAAAACUCGCUUUUAAGACUAAAAAGCUACUUUUAGAUUAUUUUUAUUUGGAGAAGUUUAUGAAAGUGUUUUAUCUGAUUAUAAAAGUUUUUAAAAAUUGUUUAAA